CCUCCGGAGCGUUACACCAAAUGUUAGUAGCCAGUAUUACCGGCAAAAGCAGACGCGAAGAACGAGGAA
rnacentral:ncRNA from 1 species